UACGUAGGGUGCAAGCGUUAAUCGGAAUUACUGGGCGUAAAGCGUGCGCAGGCGGUUAUAUAAGACAGAUGUGAAAUCCCCGGGCUCAACCUGGGAACUGCAUUUGUGACUGUAUAGCUAGAGUACGGUAGAGGGGGAUGGAAUUCCGCGUGUAGCAGUGAAAUGCGUAGAUAUGCGGAGGAACACCGAUGGCGAAGGCAAUCCCCUGGACCUGUACUGACGCUCAUGCACGAAAGCGUGGGGAGCGAACAGG
rnacentral:rRNA from 1 species